rnacentral:lncRNA from 1 species
UGCUGUGCUAGCAAUCAGCGAGACUCCGUGGGCGUAGGACCCUCCGAGCCAGGUGUGUGAUAUAAUCUCGUGGUGCGCCGUUUUUUAAGCCGGUCCGAAAAGGUUAAUAUUCGGGUGGGAGUGACCCGAUUUUCCAGGUGCGUCCGUCACCCCUUUCUUUGACUCAGAAAGGGAACUCCCUGACCCCUUGCGCUUCCCAAGUGAGGCAAUGCCUCGCCCUGCUUCGGCUCGCGCACCGUGCGCGCACCCAUUGACCUGCGCCCACUGCCUGGCACUCCCUAGUGACAUGAACCUGGUACCUCAGAUGGAAAUGCAGAAAUCACCCGUCUUCUGCUUUGCUCACGCUGGGAGCUGUAGACCGGAGCUGUUCCUAUUCGGCCAUCUUCGUUUGAGUCCGCCUCUGUAUUUUAAUGCCCUUUGACUUGGUUGCCAAGUCAUCCCGUUCAUCCCUUUAGUUGCCAAGUUACUGUCCUCUAGGGGAGGGCCCCUAUCUUAUUUCAUUUGCUCCUGUGUCUAGCAAGAAAUAUGGCCUAUAUUGAAGCUUUUAGUAAAUAUUUCUUCAGUAAGUGAGUGAAUGGCAGUUAGAAUGAUUUAGAAACCAACUGGCUCACAAAGUCUAUUUAAACUAUAGUACUGAACAAAGACCAAAGGAGAAAAGCAAAGGCUAUCGAUUCUGAGCUUGCUAUAGCAAAGGAGUCGGCCACCAUCACUAGCGUUUGCGCAGAGACUCAAAGGCAGGCAGAGGAAUGCAAAAGCUUUAAGACCCACGGAAGAGAAGGCUCAGGUGUGCUGAUUGGACUGUUGGCGUGAAGAAGCUGGAGAUGUUUCCACUCACAAUAUUGGUAAAUGUAGAGUUUGCCUCUACUGACUGUCAGCUGAACAUCUUGGUUAAGACUCAGACUGCCUGAUUCUUCUCUUCCACUUACAAGCCUUGGGAAAGUCACAUAUAACCAUGUGGAACCUCCACUUCCUCACAUGGAAGGACCCUCUCGCUAGAAACAUUUGGAUACAUGACAGUUCGCUUGCUCUGACCAAGGAGGAACAGCUGCCCAUACUCAGUUCCCUGGGUCUAAGAGACACUCAGACAACAUCUUUGUUAAAUUCAUUAUUUGCAAAGGCCUGGGCAGAAGACCAAAACAGAAAAAGAGGAGAACCAAAUGACAACUCGGAGGAAAUGAUCAGGACUGAGAAGGAGAGGAGAAAAUCCAAGAGGCCAGACCCUCACGUGGACCCUAUUGUCUCUUCCUUCCAACCUCCCAGCCUAUAAACACCUGUGCUAAGCCCAGCUGCCCAGCCCAGGCCCCAUCUGUGGGUGAGGCCUGAGACUUUUCGACCUUGCCUUGGCUGAGCACCGUUAUUACCACAUGCCUAAGACCCGUGCUCCAAUGCAUCUAUCAGGAAUAAAGCUGAUGUCUUAAGCCCCCUGUCUCAUUUCUCCAUUGGUUCAGAAUUCAGGGGAAAUUCUGUUUAGGGACUGACCCCACCAAACAAAGCAACAGCAUGUGGUGAAGAACCCUGCAUCUGUUCUGAUUUAAUUUCACCUCAUUUAGUUCCAGCUGGGUUUGUGUUGCUCAUACCAAGAUGGUAUGUGAUAUUAACUCUGAGUCAACAGCUCAGAGGAAUGUCAAGAAAGAAACUGGAAAUGGUUCAGAGGAGGCUAAAUAGAAUGAUGAACGUUCUGGAAACUAGGCCAUGGGAGGAAUGGUAAAAGGAAUGAGAAGAUUUAGUUCAAAGAAGAUUUGACUCUGAUAUGAUGCAGUCCACAUGUUUCAAGGGCAAUCAUGCAAAAUAAUACUUUAAUUAGAUUAUGUGACUUCCAAGAGCAGAGUUAACUUCAAGGGAAGAAUAGUUCGCUCAUUAUAAGGAAGAUAUUUACAACCAUUAGCAUUGUAUAAAAAUGAAAUAACUUCCACCAAUAGGGGGUCAACUCCCUGUCACUGGGAUUAUUCAAAACCCCAGUGGAUGAAAUGGGAUGAUCCUGAAAAUGGUGUUCAGGUGUUGGGAAAUGGUUGGGUCUGAAAUAAAGUUUAUCUAUAUGAUUUUUUUUUUUUUUUUUUUUUUUUUUUUUUGAGACAGAGUUUUGCCUUGUCGCCCAGGCAGACAGUGCAGUGGCGCGAUCUCGACUCACUGCAAGCUCCGCUUCCUGGGUUCACGCCAUUCUCCUGCCUCAGCCUCCCGAGUAGCUGGGACUACAGGCGCCUGCCACGGCGCCCGGCUGAUUUUUUCUAUUUUUAGUAGAGGCGGGGUUUCACCGUGUUAGCCAGGAUAGUCUCCAUCUCCUGACCUCGUGAUCCGCCCGCCUCGGCCUCCCAAAGUGCUGGGAUUACAGGCAUGAGCCACCGCGCCCGGCCAUCUAUAUGAUUUUUAUAAACCCUAAAGUGGCUGAAUGAUCUGUUCUUGGCUGCUCACCCCUUUCCCCCCAAUAUCACAAGUGACCUGAAACAAGGAGGGCAGGCCAGGGGAGACCCCUUGCAUGUGGCCAGAUCCUGCCUGGGGAGCCCCAGUCCCCACAUUGCACUUGCUAAUGGGAGGGAACAUGGAAGCCUCAAAGCUCUAUGUGCUCCACUAGGGAAAAGCUUGGCCCAAGACGAGCUUCUUUCUCCCCUCAUCCUUCCUUGAAGGAGUCUGUGAUAGCCUGAAUAAGAAGACAGAGGCCCUGACAGCAAAGUAACCCACAGAAAUGAUGUCAAGAGAUGCAACUGCAUAAGCAAGAGAAAAGUUUCUUCUCUGCCUGCUCCUCUCUGCAGGAACCAGAGCAGAAGUUGGAAGCUAACAUUUGGCCACAAGAAUGUGUUCUGUUUGAUCUAUGGGAUUGUUUAAAAUAUAAGAAAGAGACCAGAUGCAGUGGCUUACACCUGUAAUGCCAGCACUUUGGGAGGCCGAGGCAGGUGGAUUAGCUGAGUUCAGGAGUUCGAGACCAGCCUGGCCAACAUGGUGAAAGCCCAUCUCUACUAAAAAUACAAAAUUAGCUGAGCAUGGUGGUGGGUGCCUAUAAUCCCAGCUACUUGGGAGGCUGAGGCAGGAGAAUUGCUUGAACCCAGGAGGAGGAGGUUGCAGUGAGCCGAGAUCGUGCCAUUGCACUCCAGCCUGGGUAACAAGACCAAAACUCCUUCUCAAAAAAUAAUAAAUAAAAUAAAAUAAAAUAUAAUAUAAGAAAGAAAUCAUUGCCAACUUGUUUUAAAUGGGAGAUUUCACACACAAAGAUCCACAAUUUUCUAUUUCCUCUUAAAUACCACAAAAAUGGCAAAGUGGCAAUAAUUGACUGGAAAUAGGAAGCAGCUGCCUUCUCUAGUCAUGAGGUAUGUGCUCCAGUUUGCAUGGAACUUACCACCCUCCACCAAGUUUUAGACACUGAGGCCAAGUGCGAUAGUUCUGGCUCACGCCUGUCAUCCCAGCACUUUGGGAGGCUGGGCGUGGUGGCUCACGCCUGUCAUCCUAGCACUGUGGGAGGCUGGGCGUGGUGACUCAUGCCUGUAAUCCCAGCGCUUUGGGAGGCUGAGGCGGGAAGAUCACUUGAGGUCAGGGGUUCAAGCCCAGCCUGGUCAAAAUGGCGUAACCCCCUCUCUACUAAAAAAUACAAAAAUUGGCUAGGCAUGGUUGUGGGCCCCUGUAAUCCCAGCUACUCGGGAGGCUGAGGCAAGGAGAAUUGCUUGAACCUGGAAGGCAGAGAUUGCAGUGAACCAAGAUCGCACCACUGCACUCCAGCCUGGGUGACAGAGCGAGACUCUGUGCAUAAAAAAUUAAAAAAAAAAAAAAGAAAAGAAAAGAAAGGGAAAAGGAUCACAAGAGGAGAUGAUAAAUUUUUUUUAAAACAUGCCAAAUUUAAAGUUUCAGGCUAAAAUUCUGGAAAUAUGAGUCAGGAGCUCAGAAGAAUGUCAGGUAUACAAAACCACGAUUUGCCAGUCCUCUCUCAGAGGAGAUAAUUGAUACCACAGGAGCAGGUAUGACUUUGCUGCUGGGUAGAGAAUGCAGCCAUAUAAGAAGGUGGAGUAAAGACAGAGUCAGAGAUUACCUUGGAGGAAGUGUAGGAAGAACCCGGAAGAGUCAAAGGACAAAGAAGCAUGGAAAUGCAGUUCCUGCAAGGCUAACGAGGCCAUGAAAAGAAAGAAAGUAUGGUCGGCAGUGCUGGAGCAGAAGUCAAGCUCUGGUGAUUAGAAGGACACCAGUGACACUUAGAGAGCAGUUUCAGCAGACUGGUGGAAGCCAGUGGAUGUUCUAUUUGUGCCACAUCCUGGGUAAGCAGGAGCACGCUUAGAACCAAAUCAGCAUAAAGCCUUGUCCAGGGCAAGCCAACAAUUAAGUCACUACAGAACAAUGGAGCUUCCAACAGCUCAGCCAUGUCACUCUGCCCUUUUUAUGCAAAUGACCCCAGCAAAAAGAACAGCAAAGGUAAGUACCUAAGUGAGUGGGCAGAUUGGGACAAUCCUAUUGUGUCCAACUAACGACCAUGAAAAGGAGAGGACGUUUCACCCACAUGGUUGGUUCACUCACUGUGCAUUCGCUCAUUAACACUGUGUUAGGCCUAACGUGCUGAGAGACUGAGAAGAGGCACAUGGUCAUAAAAAGAGACCUGGUUCCUGCCUUCAAGCCGCUUGCAGUAUAGUUGGCAUGGAUUUCCAUGCAGUCAGAAUACUCCCCAGUCAAAACACUCCAUCUAUAAUGCCUGAUACAAUCAUUGUUCAAACUUUCACAAAAUUACCCGGGUUAUCAAAACCUUUUUUAUGCUUCCCUGUAGUAGGUAAAGGUAAAACUUAAACCGCAUGAUAAGUGGGGACAUUUGUUCAUGUAAAAAUCAUCUGGUAGACUGAAUUAUAGACUCACUAAGGGCCAUCCUUUCAACAUCCACCAUCACUUUGUUGCUCAUGCUUCUCCAGCAUCUAUCUACAAAUCUAACCAAGUUCUAUUUCAUUAUUUCCAAUUUCCAGUGACACUUCACUUGAACUACCCUUCACUGCUCUCAGACUCAGUUCUGAAGUCAAGCUUAGCACAUGGCAUGUCUCAAAUCAUCACCCUCUGCAAACAUCCCUAGCCCUGUGUAUGGUACUCUUAUUUCAUCAUCCCUCAUAAGCAUCUUCUACACCCAAUCAAUUGCCAAGCUCUGUAUUAAGCAGAGUCAUGGGCACAUAACAGAUGUUCAAUAUUUACUUGUUGAUUGAAUGGACACGUUUUAUAUCCUGGGUAACCUUUGUGGUCUAAUACCAACUAUGGAUCUAACACUUCUAAUGACAGUGGUUAAGAGGAUGGCUUUUGGUGAGAGAUGGAUCUGAUCUGGGUUUAGUCCAAUCUUGGCUACUUAGUAGCUCAGUGACUUUGGACGCAUUUCCUUGUUUACAAAUGUGAAUUAUUAGGGUUGUGAGAAUCAAAUAUAAAAUGCAUGUAAAGGUUAGAGCACAGAGAUGUUAUUUCUCUUAGUCUCUUAGUCCACUGUCAAUGUUUAUCCAUCUUAAUAAUCUAACGUGAAAUCCAAAGGAGUCCAAACCCCAAGAUGAUACCCAUGGUAUUCAACUUGAGAACCUUAUUUGGACUGUUCAGUAAUUGCAAGAAGGGAUGAUCACUCACGUGAGACACUUUCUUGUGAGCAUAAAAUAUUUUCACUGAAAACAGAUCUUACUUCUCCUCCUGGAUCCGUUCUCCAAUAUAUCCAGUUUUGAAAUUUUCAAUUAAAAAUUAUCUAAUGCAGCAAGCCUUAUUGAGUGCUAGCUGUAUUUGUUGUAGCUACUUAACCAAUUAGGCUGGAAUACCUUCUCACUUUCCCCCUAGAAAACUAAUUUUAGAUUCUUAACGAGGUCCCUCUUUUUUUGUCAAGCUUUCCCCAGCUCCACACACAAGACCUGUGUCUGCCUGGGAUCCGCUUUGGGAAUGAACCUGGAGGUUUCUUAUGUGCCCCAUCACACAGCCACAGUUGGGUGUGGCCGUGUCUUCCCCAGUGGUCCAUGAAGCCCUGAGGUGUCUGCUCUGUACACAGUAGAUGCUGAGUCGGUUCUCAAUAUUUGAGAUGACUGGAGGGGGCAGGAUGAAAGGCCAGAGGAUAGAAACUUAAAGUUACCUGUGCAUCUCCUGCCAAGCUUAGAGGGUAGGCUGAGAAGGACAACGUGUAACCUCAGAAGAGGGGGAAGGAACUCCAGUGAAUGUGUGUCCAAGAUGAAGGAAAAGUAGGAAUUUUGAUCCCAUCGCUUGACAGUAAUUUCCUGGUCUUAAAAUUUUCUUCCCCCUUUGCUUCUGGAAAAUGCAUGGCACAUACUGGGCCCUCAAUGAAUAUUUAUUGAGUGAAUACAUGAAUGCUUCUUCUCUCUGUUUGUCAACGUUUUCUUUUGUUCUUUUUGUUCCUUCAUGUUCUUCCUAACUACUCAAGCUUUCCCCUCACCACCCCAAUACAGUCAUUCUCUCUCUCUCUCUCUCUCCCUCUCUCUCUCUCUCUCUCUCAUCUGCUAACUCCAUCUAUAGUAGUAUAACAUAUGCAGGGGUGUGUGUGUGUUUGUGCGUGUGUGUGUGUGUGUGUGUGUGUAUUAUUUUCCAUUUACAGAGGAGAAAACAGAGUCCCAAAAUCCAAAACCGAGCACCAAAGUUUACACAGCUGUCCACACAGCUAGUAAUAAAGAUGCAGCAAAUAAGAUGCUAUUCCCCCAGAACCCUCCCACUGUUGUGUGCAUCAAUCCAUGGUGCACUUUGACUCCCAGCAGCCAGCACCUGCGAUUCUUUCCCCAAAGGACCAGAACCCACUUUGCCAGCCAGUGUCCACAUGGUGCCAGAAGUGCAUGGAAUUAAGUCUCCCCUCCUGCCCACAACCAAGGGGGAACAGGGGUGACUGCCCUUAACUAAUGAUUGACUGGUGUGAAGGCAUAAAGACUACAGCUCUCUAGUCUCCAAUUGGCACAGCUCUGAUGAGUGAUCCACACCACCCCACGUCCGCCCAGGGUGAUCAAGCCCAAGUGAUCUUCAGAGGACUUCUCAAUGUCUCACCCUUACCUGGCUUCUUCCUUUUCCCUGCCCAUCUUCUCUGGAAACCCUCCUAAUAAAUCUUUCCCACAAAUCCUCACAGAAAGCACUGCCUCUGGGGACCUAGCCUAAGGCAAGGUAGAUGCAGGAUUCAAACCCAAGCCUGUGUGUCUUCAAAGUUUUUUCCCACUAUGUUGUGGUUGAGAUGUUAUUACAAUCGUGUUGGUCUGCUCUUUGUUCAUUUUACAGUUAUACAUUUAAAAUGCAUCAUACAACCCUGUCUCUACUAAAAAUACAAAAAUUAGCCCAACGUGGUAGCACGUGCCUGUAAUCCCAGCUACUUGAGAGGCUGAGGCAGGAGAAUCACUUGAACCCGGGAGGCAGAGGUUGCAGUGAGCUGAGAUCAUGCCACUGCACUCCAGCCUGGGCAACAGAUUGAGACCCCAUCUCAAAAAAUAAAAUGAAAUAAAAUAAAAUAAAAUGCAUCACACAUACAUUUUAAAUAUUUGAAUGGCCUCUGUGGUUUCAGGUAUCUUGAAGACAAAUAUGUAUUCAAACACUCUAUGCUUGCUUACUUUUUCUUACUGUAAUUAUAUUGUCUCUGAGGCAACAGACUUUUGAACAUCUUAGCAAAAUGAAAUAAAGGGCUCAAAGGGGAGAAAAAAGUCAUUUUUUUAAAUUUGUCUUUGUAAUUGCCUCUCACCUGGGUCCAAAAUUAAAUACAAACUAAAAGGAGCUUUAGCUGUUUUGUGUUCUCUUUUAAGUAUUUUUAUUGUAUGAGUAAUGUAAUCACACCAGAGAAAUUUGAAAUCCAGGAGAGAAAAUAACACGUAAAUAGUCUAAUCCAACCAUUAACCAACUAUUUCCUUUAUAAACUAUUUCCUUUCAUUUACAAACUAUUUCCAGCACACUAAUCCAACCAUAUACAAACUAUUUCUUCCAGCUGUUAUCACAGCUUUUUGCCCAGCCCAGGAAUCUAUGCAUUUGACGUGGCUGUAGACUUGUUCCAACCCUGGGAUUUCCUGUGUGUUUUCCUUUGGCCCAAGCAGUUUUCCAUGUAACACAGUCCUUGUGGCUGUCAUUUUUAAUGGUUGCACAUUGUUAUACCCAGAGGAUGUACCAUAUAUUAUCACCCUUUUUGUUGCUUUUGAUAUUUAAUAUUAAUCUAAAUUAAAUAAUAAGAUUGUGUUGAAUGUGCCAUUUUGGUUUUGCUUCUACUCUUUUUUUCAUAUUUCAGAUUAUGUCUUCAAAAUAAAUUUCCAAGACUUGAAUUAUCAGAUAAAGGAACCAUAUGUAUGGUUUUGAUGUACACUGCCACAUUUUUCUUUGGUCCUGCCCCACCACAAUGCGUGCUAAUCUAUGUUAUCAUAAGCCAAUCUGGAACAAAGGUUAUUCCAAACUCAGCGUGGCUUCUUCAUUCUUUAAAGAGUUGUGGUCUAACAAAAUGAAUUCAUUUUAAAUUUCUCGAUUUCAUACAAAGGUCUUGAGGCCUUGUCUAGGAUGAUAUGAGCACAUAGCAUUCCUCAUAAAAAUGACAGAGAACUUGAAAAUAACAAAGAACGUGAAAGUGACAUUUCAGUCAUCCUUAAAUAUAUGUAGUGCUCAUCUUAAUUCUAAGCUUUCUUCAUUGCCAUAAGCAUUUCAUGCAGGGAUUAGUCCUUGAGCUUGAGUUGCCUAAUUGAUUCAAUCAUCCUCACUCAACACUAAAUGCACGGCACCUUUCAGUGGCUGAUGUGGGCUCACUGAGUUGGGUGCAUAUUUUGUGAGCAUUAAUUAACACCUGCAUCUUGAAAUGCAGAGGAUAAAGAAUGUUGACAAAAUAAACAAGCAAGAAGGGAUUCCCAUUUUCUCAGCUACCCUGUGGUUUGCCUGAGCUCAUCCUAAGGUUUCAUAACAGAACAGGACACAGAACAGGAAAAUUGAGACUCUCUUACAAAUUUCACCGAUAAGCCAUUUGAGAAUUCUAAUAAAAAAGUGGAAAAUCCAGCCAGACUCCCAGAUACAUGAUUCCAGGUGAUAUCAGACAUUCUUGCAGAUAAACAUCCCAUUGACUGAAUUUUCUCCCUCUAAACUUUCAAAAAUUAAUUUAAAGAAGCUUCUUUUCUGUGGCUUGUCUAACCCCAACAAGCACCAAUUUGCAUUUUGUUUCAAGAAAGCAUUUUACUUUAACCCAAAAACAAAGUCUGUUUCUCUGCAAAUUGUCAAGCCCCAGAUUUUCUCCCAACCACAUCCCCAUGCCAUUCUUGCCUUCACCCUGAGGAUCAUGGUCAGAGGGGUGAUGAUCUCCCCCAAAUGAUUCCACAGCUGAUUUUUUUUUUAUUUGGUAGGGCUUUCUGGGUUAGGAUAACGCUGGAUAAUCCUAAUUACAGCCCUAUCCAAGCUUAAACUCCAUAACCAAGCAAAAAUUUUACAACUCAAAGAAAUUUAAUUUGGCCUCACACUUGCAAUGGGGAAACACACACACACACACACACACACACACACACACACACACACAAACAAGGGAAAAACUGGCAGCUCAGCUAACAGGCAACUGAAUGUUGGACACGAUGCCAAGUUGGUCCAAUUAAGAAACAUUAGAGGUCUAAUGAGGAACAGUUCAGACAGGACACAAGGUUCUUGACAGCAGCCAAGCAAACUGCAAAGUCUCCAGCCCAGGUAAGUGAAUCCCUUCAAUAUUUCAAAACAGCAAGGGACAAGUAGAACUUGGCUUGUAAGCGUUCUUGCAUACCUAGGGAAGAAGAGUCCAGGUGGAGAACCUGGCCAAACAAUGAUGUCAGAACAAAAGUCCAUUUAAGCCUAAAAAACAAUCUAUGGGACAUUCCUGGGUACAAUAGAACACAUGAAAUAUUGCCAUUUUGCCUAUUAAUAUUUAUUCCUGGGAAAUUUUAACAAAAUCAUUGUCUGGGUGCACUUCAUCCUCUCCUUCCCUCCCACUACCAGCCCCUUCAAAUGCACCUCCUGGAAAAAACGGAACGAAAACAGUGUCAUGAAAAAUACUUGGGUGAGGGCUUUCAUUUACUCCAUGCCAAGUAUUUUAUUUUUAAGCCAGAUUUGACAAAGUCCUGCUAAGGCAAAGCAAGUUUCAGAUCAUACCCUCAGUGAAAAUUGUAGCACCGUCUGCUUACCUGUCACCAGGACUGCCUUCUGAUCCACAGGUAACAAUUCUUG